GCAGCAGGCCGGCUUGUCGCUUAUCCUGUGUGGAUAAGAGGAAAGUCCGGGCAACAGAGGGCACCAUCCUUCUUAACGGGAAGCUAUCCGCGAGGGUAGAGUAGCGUAACAGAAAAGAACCGCCAUGCUUGCAUGGUAAGGGUGAAAAGGUGAGGUAAGAGCUUACCGCUUCUGCCGUAAUGCAGGAGGUCCGUACGCCUGAUGGGUUGUAAGGUCAUGUAUACCGACGCAUGUAGGGUGGCCCGUUCGAUGUCGGGGGGUAGACCGCAAAGAAUUUGCCGGUGACGGUAAAUCAAGAUAAAUGACAGGCGCGUUCGUAUUGUAAAAUAUGGAUGUACAGAACCCGGCUUACAGGUCUGCUGCCUUA
rnacentral:RNase_P_RNA from 1 species